rnacentral:piRNA from 1 species
UGGACCUUGGAAAACUGUGUCCUCUCUAUGC